rnacentral:sRNA from 1 species
GCCAGGUGUGGUGGCGUAUGCUUGUAAUCCCAGUAACUUGGGAGGCUGAGGCAGGAGGACUCCAAAUUCGAGGCCAGUCUCAG